UACGGGGGGAGCAAGCGUUGUUCGGAUUCACUGGGCGUAAAGGGUGCGUAGGUGGUCGGGUAAGUCUGAGGUGAAAUCUCCGAGCCCAACUCGGAAACUGCCUUGGAUACUAUUCGGCUAGAGGGUUGGAGGGGGGACUGGAAUUCUCGGUGUAGCAGUGAAAUGCGUAGAUAUCGAGAGGAACACCAGUGGCGAAGGCGAGUCCCUGGACAACUCCUGACACUGAGGCACGAAAGCUAGGGGAGCAAACAGG
rnacentral:rRNA from 1 species